AGGGACUUCGCAUCCUGCCAACAAAACAUACGAGUUUGUCCACAAGGAGAGGUAUGCUUUACAUCAGAAACCUUGAGUAACUAUGGAUUUUUGGUUUACAGUUCUGGUUGUGCAUCCAAACAGACCUGUGACUCUUUGAGCACAAGUAGUCUUGAAGGGCC